UAGGGAAUCUUCCACAAUGGGCGAAAGCCUGAUGAAGCAACGCCGCGUGUGUGAUGAAGGGUUUCGGCUCGUAAAACACUGUUGUAAGAGAAGAAUGACAUUGAGAGUAACUGUUCAAUGUGUGACGGUAUCUUACCAGAAAGGAACGGCUAAAUACGUGCCAG
rnacentral:rRNA from 1 species